rnacentral:rRNA from 1 species
UACAGAGGGGGCAAGCGUUGUUCGGAAUUACUGGGCGUAAAGGGCGCGUAGGCGGCCUUCUAAGUCGAACGUGAAAUCCCCGGGCUCAACCCGGGAACUGCGUCCGAUACUGGAAGGCUUGAAUCCGGGAGAGGGAUGCGGAAUUCCAGGUGUAGCGGUGAAAUGCGUAGAUAUCUGGAGGAACACCGGUGGCGAAGGCGGCAUCCUGGACCGGUAUUGACGCUGAGGUGCGAAAGCGUGGGGAGCGAACCGG